rnacentral:rRNA from 1 species
UACGUAGGGGGCAAGCGUUGUCCGGAUUUAUUGGGCGUAAAGAGCGUGUAGGCGGUCAGGUAGGUCCGUUGUGAAAACUCGAGGCUCAACCUCGAGACGCCGAUGGAAACCAUCUGACUAGAGUCCGGAAGAGGAGAGUGGAAUUCCUGGUGUAGCGGUGAAAUGCGCAGAUAUCAGGAGGAACACCGGUGGCGAAGGCGGGUCUCUGGGCCGAUACUGACGCUGAGACGCGAAAGCGUGGGGAGCAAACAGG